GCCCGGGUAGCUCAGCGGUAGAGCGGCACGUUGAAGGCGUGCGCGUCAGUGGUUCGAUUCCAUUUCCGGGCACCA
rnacentral:tRNA from 1 species